GCCCCAGUGGCGGAAUGGUAGACGCAGUAGACUCAAAAUCUACCGCCCUUACGGGCGUGCUGGUUCAAGUCCGGCCUGGGGCACCA
rnacentral:tRNA from 1 species